rnacentral:rRNA from 1 species
UACGGAGGGUGCAAACGUUGCUCGGAAUCAUUGGGCGUAAAGCGCACGUAGGUGGCCUGUUAAGUCGGGUGUGAAAUCCCUCGGCUCAACCAAGGAAGUGCAUCCAAAACUGCAGAGCUUGAGUACGAAAGAGGAUCGCGGAAUUCCCGGUGUAGAGGUGAAAUUCGUAGAUAUCGGGAGGAACACCAGUGGCGAAGGCGGCUUGCCAGAACGCGCUCGACGGUGAGGGAUGAAAGCUGGGGGAGCAAACCGG